ACGAACGCUGGCGGCAUGCCUAACACAUGCGAGUCGAACGCCCUGGGCAACCGGGGAGUGGCGGACGGGUGAGUAACGCGUGGGGACCUGCCUCGAAGUUCGGAAUAACCGCGGGAAACUGCGGCUAAUACCGGCAUACGGACCUGACGGUGCAAAGUGGGGGACCAAGCCUCACGCAUAGAGAGGGGCCGACGUCCGGAUUAGCUAGUUGGCGGGGGUAACGGCCCACCAAGGCGACGAUCCGGUAGCUGGUCUGAGAGGAUGAUUAGCCACACUGGACUGAGACACGGUCCCAGACUCCUACGGGAGGCAGCAGUGGGGAAUAUUGGACAAUGGGGCGCAAGCCUGAUCCAGCCAUGCCGCGUGUAGUGAUGAAGGCCUUCGGGUUGUAAAGCUCUUUUGGCCGGAGAGCCAUCGAUUACUUGGGAUGACGGUACCGGAAGAAUAAGCACCGGCUAACUUCGUGCCAGCAGCCGCGGUAAUACGAAGGGGGCUAGCGUUGCUCGGAAUUACUGGGCGUAAAGGCGUGCGUAGGUGGUUCGUGAUAGUCGGAUGUGAAAGCCCUGGGCUCAACCUGGGAAUGGCAUUCCGAUACUGGCGGACCUAGGAGUGCUGGGAGAGGGUGGUGGAAUUCCCAGUGUAGCAGGUGAAAUUCGUAGAUAUUCGGGAAGAACAUCCGGUGGCGAAGGCGGACAACCCUGGACCACAACUGACAGCUGAGGCAGCGAAAGCGUGGGGAGCAAACAGGAUUAGAUACCCUGGUAGUCCACGCCUAAACGAUGCGGACUAGGAAGUUGGGGACAACUAGGUGUCCCAGGUGUCGUAGCUAACGCUUUAAGUUACGCCGCCUGGGAAGUACGGUCGCAAGACUUAAACUCAAAGGAAUUGACGGGGGCCCGCACAAGCGGUGGAGUAUGUGGUUUAAUUCGAUGCAACGCGCAGAACCUUACCUGCCUUGGCAUGUCGUAGAGGCUGGGCAGGAGAUGCCUUCGGUUCCGGCGGGACGCGAACACAGGUGCUGCAUGGCUGUCGUCAGCUCGUGUCGUGAGAUGUUGGGUUAAGUCCCGCAACGAGCGCAACCCUUCACCUUCAGUUGCCAGCACGGUAUGGCGGGAACUCUGAAGGAGACCUGCCGGUGACAAGCCGGAGGAAGGUGGGGAUGACGUACAAGUCCUCAUGGCCCUUACGGGCUGGGCUACACACGUGCUACAAUGGCUGGUGACAGAGGGAUGCAGAGGGGCGACCUGCGCAAGGAUCUCCAAAAAUCCAUCUCAGUUCAGAUUGGGUCUGCAACUCGGAGCCAUGAAGUUGGAAUCGCUAGUAAUCGCAGGAUCAGCACUGCUGCGGUGAAUACGUUCCCGGGCCUUGUACACACCGCCCGUCACACCAUGGGAGUUGGCUUUACCUUAAGACGGUGCGCGAACCAGCAAUGGGAGCAGCCGUCCACGGUAAGGUCAGCGACUGGGGUG
rnacentral:rRNA from 1 species